CUUCGUGCUUUUUUUUCGUUUCUUGGUGGUUUGUAAUUUUGCUUCCUGCAAUUUCCGUACAAUUAUGAUGUUUUUGAACUUGUGCAUGUCAUAUGCGUUCUUCUCUUCAUUGCUCGAGCACAAACCAUUCUGUCAUUGUUACAUGCAUUUUGGUGGACACAGUAUUCUGGACGAAUGGUAUAGCAUCUAUAGAACUCCAUUAUCGCUGAUGUAAUGUGAUAUCUGUAGAAGACACUGUUUCUUCUGUUAUUUCUUUAUGCUUUUAUGGUAUGUAAAGUACUUAAGAAAACGACUUCGACUUGUGCACUGAACUAACAAUGUUGAGGGGAAAAUUCUAAUUCAACAGGGGAAGCCCAAUGCUGUCGAGGAAGCAAACAGCAGCAAAUCUUUGAAUGACGGACAGAUUUUAAGCACCCAACCUGAAGAAAAAUCUUCGAGGGAGGGACAGAGUCCAAGCACACAGCAGGAAGAGAGCAACGAUAAUCAAGCAGAGCAGAAGGUUGAAAAGGCAAAUGAUUCAUAAUUUUGACUUGGUGGUUUCCCUCGUUUGCUAGGUAAUGCCUAAAUCAUCACUGGAGUUCCUUCUGGAAGUAAUACAGAAAUAUUCUUUCCCCCUUUUCUAUUGUUCAUAUAUCUUUCUUUUCCUUCUCUAUGCUUCCGCCCUUCACAGAACCAAUGUAAAACUGAGUCCAUUUAUUGUUUGUCUCGUUCAUUCAUUGACAAUAAUAGUUUGGGGAGCAACAAGUGUAAGAGGAAGAAACAUGAGUUUUAGGUUAGCCAAACUGUAUAAUCUUUGUUACUACAUCGUUGUAAUGUAUAACUGUUGUUUGAUAGAAAUUAUCAUUCUGAAAAAAUUAAAAGCAGUACUGAAUUGAACUGUCCAAGUCAGUUCCAUAAUACAAUCGUAGAGGUGAUGUUAAAGGACUAAG
rnacentral:lncRNA from 1 species